UAUUUAGAUAUUUGAGGUAAAUGUACAUUUAAGGAGUGAGCAUUUAACUUCUAUUUUAGCAGAGAUAACCCAAAUGUCUGCGACUCCAUCAACACGUGAAUUUACAGACUUUGAAGAUCUUUGUAAAGGUUGCAAUGGUUACUCUUACAACCUGGCUGAAUUGUUUGAUGGAUGUGAUCAUGACCACACAAAUCAUCACAGGCAUAGUAUUUCUUUUAAGCAAUCUUUGAAAAGAUUAAAACUAAAACUGAAGCAAUCGUUAUGUGAGUUGGAAAGGCAGACUGAAAGAAAAGUAACGGACUUUACAAUAGGUAAAACAUUUGUGAAAGAAAAAAAAUUAGCGCACUUUAACCCUAUGAAACCGACGACUUGGUGUCUAGUAGGAGGAAUAACUGCAAGAUGGCGGAAUUACAAAAGUAAUAACUAUGAUGGAUUAAUUGUUUUAGGAUGCGUUGAAAGGAAUCUUGUUCCAAAAAAAUUACGAGAAUGUAGCGCAAAUGCACAUCGUAUGGACAAGACAACAAUCGAAAUGAACCAGCAAAAUUAUGCUUUAGGCCUGGAGCAAGCUUUGAUACAAUAUUUUUCAUUGAUCAAAGCAGACGAAAGACUACGUAAUCUAUCAUUUGAUAUUGGUAAUAUAUCAAAGGAAAAAUAUAUAUGAGGAGUUGUAUAUGUUGCAUACAAACUUGAGCCUGAACCCUGUUAUUCCGAUGAAGAAGCAAAUGUUUAUCAAGGUAUGUAUUUGUGUUGUUGUAGUUUUUUGCAUGUUUUGUACCUGUCGCAUUUGAUGACACCAUCUAUCGUAUUAAUAUUUGCAAAUGUCCUUUUUAUGUUCGGUGUCAGCAGAAUUAAGACCAUGUCUAGUAAUAACAUUUUGACGUGGCUUGGCAUUUGUAGAUCCCGUCAUUGUUUUAUUGCGCUAUGCUCAUUUUGUUGUAUUCUGAUCUUUCAUUUCUACUUAUGUGCUUUGUCUGAAGAGUGUCUACAUGUCAGUUUGGUUUUCUUUGUUGAUAAGGUGUUUGCUUUUUUAGCGAUUAAGAUCAUAACAUUAUGAUGACUGCUGUACCGAAACGUUUGGCAUUUUUACGUAUUAUGUCUGUUUGUUUUGUUUACACAUUUUUGUCAGUAUAAGGAAAUUUGAUGUGACUGUAAAUUCUGUGAGAGGUUUAAUCAACCUUUUUCUACAUGAGAAAAUGCCUGUACCAAAUCAAGAAUAUGCCAGUUGGUUUUCAUUCGUUUGAUGUGUUUGAGGUUUGGAUUUUGUCAUUUGAUAAAUGAAUGGCCUUUAUGUUUUUCCUGAUUUUUGCUAUUUACUUUUCGGACCCUUAUAAUAUAAAAUAAUAUCAAGAAAAAUAGCAAUACAUACAGUGAAAACGCAAAAGGCAGAACAUAAAAAUUAGGCAAGCCAAAAUUUUAAGUCACCGCAGUUAUCAAGGCUAUUUAAAUACAACAGCUCACAUAACUCAAAAGCAAUCUAAAAAUUUAGUGAUACAAAUCCAACAUAACAGCGUCAUCGAAACCGUAUUUACAUGUUAAACAUGUGUAGUGAUGGUUUUGGUUGGUUUGUCCUAAUUCUCUGUUGGCAAAGAUUCUGAGGACGAACAUAUAAUGUGAAAAUACUCGAACGUAAUGUAUUAACUGAGAUAUGCAAACGCCAAACGAUGGGUCAACGGUGUGUAACUGCUAAGUAACUGGAAGUUGACGGUUGGAAAUUAGAAGUCAUUACGUUUAUCGUAGAUUCUUGUGUUCAGCCUUCCAUCUGUGUCAAAUGUGGAAAGAUCAAUAAGUGAAACAGAUAUUCUAGUAUCCUUAGUUUCCUUAAAUCCCCCAUAUUCC